AACGAACGCUGGCGGCAUGCCUAACACAUGCAAGUCGAACGAGACCUUCCGUUCUAGUGUCGCACGGGUGCGUAACGCUUGGUAACCUGCCCUUAGGCUCGGAAUAACUCCCCGAAAGGGGUGCUAAUACCGGAUUAUUUCUUCGUACCAAAGAUUUAUCGCCUUUGGAUGGGGCCGCGUUGGAUUGGCUAGUUGGUAGGGUAAAAGCCUACCAAGUCGACGAUCCAUAGCUGGUCUGAGAGGAUGAUCAGCCAGACUGGGACUGAGACACGGCCCAGACUCGUACGGGAGGCAGCAGUGGGGAAUAUUGGACAAUGGGCGAAAGCCUGAUCCAGCGAGGCCGCGUGAGUGAUGAAGGGGUUAGGGUUGUAAAGCUCUUUUACCCGGGAUGAUAAUGACAGUACCGGGAGAAUAAGCACCGGCUAACUCCGUG
rnacentral:rRNA from 1 species